rnacentral:rRNA from 1 species
GUGGGAUUAGCUAGUUGGUGAGGUAAUGGCUCACCAAGGCGACGAUCCCUAGCUGUUCUGAGAGGAUGAUCAGCCACACUGGGACUGAGUCACGGCCCAGACUCCUACGGGAGGCAGCAGUGGGGAAUAUUGCACAAUGGGGGAAACCCUGAUGCAGCCAUGCCGCGUGUGUGAAGAAGGCCUUCGGGUUGUAAAGCACUUUCAGUAGGGAGGAAAGGGUGUAGUUUAAUACGCUAUAUCUGUGACGUUACCUACAGAAGAAGGACCGGCUAACUCCGUGCCAGCAGCCGCGGUAAUACGGAGGGUCCGAGCGUUAAUCGGAAUUACUGGGCGUAAAGCGUGCGCAGGCGGUUUGUUAAGCGAGAUGUGAAAGCCCUGGGCUCAACCUAGGAAUAGCAUUUCGAACUGGCGAACUAGAGUCUUGUAGAGGGGGUAGAAUUCCAGGUGUAGCGGUGAAAUGCGUAGAGAUCUGGAGGAAUACCGGUGGCGAAGGCGGCCCCCUGGACAAAGACUGACGCUCAUGCACGAAAGCGUGGGGAGCAAACAGGAUUAGAUACCCUGGUAGUCCACGCCGUAAACGAUGUC